rnacentral:rRNA from 1 species
CCUACGGGAGGCAGCAGUAGGGAAUCUUAGACAAUGGGGGCAACCCUGAUCUAGCCAUGCCGCGUGUGUGAUGAAGGCCCUAGGGUCGUAAAGCACUUUCGCCAGAGAUGAUAAUGACAGUAUCUGGUAAAGAAACCCCGGCUAACCCCGUGCCAGCAGCCGCGGUAAUACGGAGGGGGUUAGCGUUGUUCGGAAUUACUGGGCGUAAAGCGCACGUAGGCGGAUUAGUAAGUUAGAGGUGAAAUCCCAGGGCUCAACCCUGGAACUGCCUUUAAUACUGCUAGUCUUGAGUUCGAGAGAGGUAAGUGGAAUUCCGAGUGUAGAGGUGAAAUUUCGUAGAUAUUCGGAGGAACACCAGUGGGCGAAGGCGGCUUNACUGGCUCGAAUACUGACGCCUGAAGGUUGCGAAAAGUGGUGGGGAGGCAAACAGGAUUAGAUACCCUGGUAGUCCACACCGUAAACGAUGAAUGCCAGACGUCAGCAAGUAUACUUGUUGGUGUCACACCUAACGGAUUAAGCAUUCCGCCUGGGGAGUACGGUCGCAAGAUUAAAACUCAAAGGAAUUGACGG